AUAGCAUAUCAGAAGGCACACCCGGAGAACUGAAACAUCUUAGUACCCGGAGGAAGAGAAAGAAAAUUCGAUUCCCUUAGUAGCGGCGAGCGAAAUGGGAAGAGCCCAAACCAACAAGUUUGCUUGUUGGGGUUGUAGGACACUCUAUACGGAGUUACAAAGGACGACAUUAGACGAAUCAUCUGGAAAGAUGAAUCAAAGAAGGUAAUAAUCCUGUAGUCGAAAAUGUUGUCUCUCUUGAGUGGAUCCUGAGUACGACGGAGCACGUGAAAUUCCGUCGGAAUCUGGGAGGACCAUCUCCUAAGGCUAAAUACUCUCUAGUGACCGAUAGUGAACCAGUACCGUGAGGGAAAGGUGAAAAGCACCCCGGAAGGGGAGUGAAAUAGAACCUGAAACCGUGUGCUUACAAGUAGUCAGAGCCCGUUAAUGGGUGAUGGCGUGCCUUUUGUAGAAUGAACCGGCGAGUUACGAUUUGAUGCAAGGUUAAGCAGUAAAUGUGGAGCCGUAGCGAAAGCGAGUCUGAAUAGGGCGUUUAGUAUUUGGUCGUAGACCCGAAACCAGGUGAUCUACCCUUGGUCAGGUUGAAGUUCAGGUAACACUGAAUGGAGGACCGAACCGACUUACGUUGAAAAGUGAGCGGAUGAACUGAGGGUAGCGGAGAAAUUCCAAUCGAACCUGGAGAUAGCUGGUUCUCUCCGAAAUAGCUUUAGGGCUAGCCUCAAGUGAUGAUUAUUGGAGGUAGAGCACUGUUUGGACGAGGGGCCCCUCUCGGGUUACCGAAUUCAGACAAACUCCGAAUGCCAAUUAAUUUAACUUGGGAGUCAGAACAUGGGUGAUAAGGUCCGUGUUCGAAAGGGAAACAGCCCAGACCACCAGCUAAGGUCCCAAAAUAUAUGUUAAGUGGAAAAGGAUGUGGCGUUGCCCAGACAACUAGGAUGUUGGCUUAGAAGCAGCCAUCAUUUAAAGAGUGCGUAAUAGCUCACUAGUCGAGUGACACUGCGCCGAAAAUGUACCGGGGCUAAACAUAUUACCGAAGCUGUGGAUUGUCCUUUGGACAAUGGUAGGAGAGCGUUCUAAGGGCGUUGAAGCAUGAUCGUAAGGACAUGUGGAGCGCUUAGAAGUGAGAAUGCCGGUGUGAGUAGCGAAAGACGGGUGAGAAUCCCGUCCACCGAUUGACUAAGGUUUCCAGAGGAAGGCUCGUCCGCUCUGGGUUAGUCGGGUCCUAAGCUGAGGCCGACAGGCGUAGGCGAUGGAUAACAGGUUGAUAUUCCUGUACCACCUAUAAUCGUUUUAAUCGAUGGGGGGACGCAGUAGGAUAGGCGAAGCGUGCGAUUGGAUUGCACGUCUAAGCAGUAAGGCUGAGUAUUAGGCAAAUCCGGUACUCGUUAAGGCUGAGCUGUGAUGGGGAGAAGACAUUGUGUCUUCGAGUCGUUGAUUUCACACUGCCGAGAAAAGCCUCUAGAUAGAAAAUAGGUGCCCGUACCGCAAACCGACACAGGUAGUCAAGAUGAGAAUUCUAAGGUGAGCGAGCGAACUCUCGUUAAGGAACUCGGCAAAAUGACCCCGUAACUUCGGGAGAAGGGGUGCUCUUUAGGGUUAACGCCCAGAAGAGCCGCAGUGAAUAGGCCCAAGCGACUGUUUAUCAAAAACACAGGUCUCUGCUAAACCGUAAGGUGAUGUAUAGGGGCUGACGCCUGCCCGGUGCUGGAAGGUUAAGAGGAGUGGUUAGCUUCUGCGAAGCUACGAAUCGAAGCCCCAGUAAACGGCGGCCGUAACUAUAACGGUCCUAAGGUAGCGAAAUUCCUUGUCGGGUAAGUUCCGACCCGCACGAAAGGCGUAACGAUUUGGGCACUGUCUCAACGAGAGACUCGGUGAAAUCAUAGUACCUGUGAAGAUGCAGGUUACCCGCGACAGGACGGAAAGACCCCGUGGAGCUUUACUGUAGCCUGAUAUUGAAAUUCGGCACAGCUUGUACAGGAUAGGUAGGAGCCUUUGAAACGUGAGCGCUAGCUUACGUGGAGGCGCUGGUGGGAUACUACCCUAGCUGUGUUGGCUUUCUAACCCGCACCACUUAUCGUGGUGGGAGACAGUGUCAGGCGGGCAGUUUGACUGGGGCGGUCGCCUCCUAAAAGGUAACGGAGGCGCUCAAAGGUUCCCUCAGAAUGGUUGGAAAUCAUUCAUAGAGUGUAAAGGCAUAAGGGAGCUUGACUGCGAGACCUACAAGUCGAGCAGGGUCGAAAGACGGACUUAGUGAUCCGGUGGUUCCGCAUGGAAGGGCCAUCGCUCAACGGAUAAAAGCUACCCCGGGGAUAACAGGCUUAUCUCCCCCAAGAGUUCACAUCGACGGGGAGGUUUGGCACCUCGAUGUCGGCUCAUCGCAUCCUGGGGCUGUAGUCGGUCCCAAGGGUUGGGCUGUUCGCCCAUUAAAGCGGUACGCGAGCUGGGUUCAGAACGUCGUGAGACAGUUCGGUCCCUAUCCGUCGUGGGCGUAGGAAAUUUGAGAGGAGCUGUCCUUAGUACGAGAGGACCGGGAUGGACAUACCUCUGGUGUACCAGUUGUCGUGCCAACGGCAUAGCUGGGUAGCUAUGUGUGGACGGGAUAAGUGCUGAAAGCAUCUAAGCAUGAAGCCCCCCUCAAGAUGAGAUUUCCCAACUUCGGUUAUAAGAUCCCUCAAAGAUGAUGAGGUUAAUAGGUUCGAGGUGGAAGCAUGGUGACAUGUGGAGCUGACGAAUACUAAUCGAUCGAAGACUUAAUCAA
rnacentral:rRNA from 1 species